rnacentral:rRNA from 1 species
UGUCUAGGGGUUCAAACCUAAAGAACCCAAAUAUCUAAACGGAGAAAUUCAAUACUGUUGUGCGCAAGCAUAACAGUGUGCACUUUUCUCUUAGUAAGACGUUGUGAUCCAUUAGGAAUCGAGUGUCUAUCUAAAAUUGGACAAUCAGUAGGCUACCAAUAGGCGGGCAUUGAAGUUCACUUUGAUAAAUAACAUUAUCUUUUGGUUGUGUAUAUUGUCUUGUGAGCGUGCCAUGUUCUGAUGUAGCUGCCUGAUGGAUUUUAAAGGUCAUAUCAUUGAUAUUUUUAUAUCACCCGACUUCGUGUUGGGAUUUUAAGAUAUGUACCCGAUCAACAACGGUUUCAUUUGGGAUACCUUUGGGACCCGUCUUGAAACACGGACCAAGGAGUCUAUCUAGUAUGCGAGUAAAUGGGAUGCUAAAAACCUAUUUGCGUAAAAAACUUAACUGUUAUGGGAUUACGUGUAUAUUAACUUUUAGUGUAUGCACUUCCAUCCCGGAGUAUUUUCAUAACAUAUAUGGGUAACUAUAUAUAGAAAAUAUAUCAUGAGCAUACUGGACAUGACCCGAAAGAUGGUGAACUAUGCCUGAUCAGGUUGAAGUCAGGGGAAACCCUGAUGGAGGACCGAAGCAAUUCUGACGUGCAAAUCGAUUGUCAGAAUUGGGCAUAGGGGCGAAAGA